rnacentral:misc_RNA from 1 species
AAGAAAAGGCAUAUACCCAAUAAACAAACCGGGUCGGCCCGUCAUUGUUCUCCUUCGUAGAAUUUUCACAUAAAACCAUUUAAAACCAAAUUCAGUGAAUCUUCUUUGUUGAAGCAAAUUUGCAGUUGAAUCGUUGAUCUUCUUCAACAGAACUAAAGCAAGUUCGCCUUUGUUUGUUGUAUAACCCAACAUGUUUUCGCGGAUAUUCGGGAAACCCAAGCAGGAAACUAAUGCUCUUAUGACUCUUGACAAAUUAAACGAGACACUGGAGAUGCUUGAGAAAAAGGAAAAGGUGCUUCAGAAGAAGGCCUCUACAGAGGUUGAGAAGGCCAAAGAUUUUACAAGAGCAAAGAACAAAAGAGCUGCAAUACAGUGUUUGAAGAGGAAGAGGCUCUACGAACAACAAAUUGAGCAGCUUGGCAAUUUCCAGCUUCGCAUCCAUGAUCAGAUGAUAAUGCUAGAAGGCGCAAAAGCUACAACUGAAACUGUUGAUGCUUUGCGGACUGGAGCUUCUGCAAUGAAAGCAAUGCAGAAAG